rnacentral:rRNA from 1 species
UUCUGGUUGAUCCUGCCAGAGGCGACCGCUUUUGGAGUUCGAUUAAGCCAUGCGAGUCGAGAGCCUUAGGGGCUCGGCAUACUGCUCAGUAACACGUGGAUAACCUGCCCUAUUGUCUGGAAUAACCUCGGGAAACUGAGAACAAGGCCGGAUAACCCACAAUGCCUGGAACGGUUUGUGGGUGAAGAUAGGAUGGGUCUGCGGCGUAUCAGGUCGUAGGGGGUGUAAUGGACCUCCUAGCCAUCGACGCGUACGGGUGUUGGGAGACAUAGCCCGGAGAUGGAUUCUGAGACACGAAUCCAGACCCUACGGGGUGCAGCAGGCGCGAAAACUUCACACUGCAGGAAACUGUGAUGAGGGAACUCCAAGUGCAUUCACUAUGUGGAUGCUUUUUUUGACUAUUAAUCGGUCAACGAAUAAGGGCUGGGAAAGACCGGUGCCAGCCGCCGCGGUAAUACCGGCAGCUCAAGUGGUCGUCGCUUUUAUUGGGCCUAAAACGUCCGUAGCCUGUUUGGUAAAUCUGUGGGUAAAUCAACCAGCUUAACUGGUUGAAUUCUGCAGAGACUGCCAGACUAGGGACCGGGAGAGGUGUGGGGUACUCUAGGGGUAGGGGUAAAAUCCUGUCAUCCUUAGAGGACCACCAGUUGCGAAGGCGCCACACUGGAACGGAUCCGACGGUCAGGGACGAAGCCUAGGGGCACGAACCGGAUUAGAUACCCGGGUAGUCCUAGGUGUAAACGCUGUGAACUUGGUGUCGGGG